rnacentral:lncRNA from 10 species
CCUCACUCUCCAGGUGCCCUUUGCACCCAACAGUGCGUGUGAGGAACGAACUGCUGUUUGAACGUCCCCUGAGAUUGUGCGUAGCCCCGUGUAAAUGUAAUAGCCUCCAUGGCUUAAUUGGCUAUCAAGCGAAUUUUCCCAGAUGAAAGCAAUGUUGGGUUAGGGGACGACGGUGCAGCCACCCAGCCUUUACCAGCAGCGUGCUGCAGACGAAGGCAGUCAAGGUGUGGAGGUGAUCACGCAGGUGCAGCUCAGUUGCCGUGAUGCUCCUUGAGUCAAUGAGCUCUUUGGUCUGCUCUUCUGCUCAAGCAGAAAAGGAUUGGCACUUCACCCUUGAGAAGCUGACAAGAACCACAGGCUUCUUCAGGCUCUAGCCUGAUUUUCUGGCUCAUAAGGCCAAAGGGAGCUGGAAAAGUCCCCACGGCAGGACUCAUGGUGGAGAGAGAAUGAUCUAGAGGAUUCAGGCCUCUGCAUACUGUGUCUGGGUCCCUCCUUAAAGAAUGAUAAAGACAAGUAAAGAGCUUGAAGCAGCCUGGAGUCCAGCCAGAAACCUUUAACUGAGCUUUAAAGGAGAUGGUCACAACACUUUUCAGAAUACUGGCAAAGGCCUCCUGUGGCCAGGUUUGUCCUGGGAUGAGCAAAAUUUAAUGUUAACCUGCUGUAUCUUUGCUUUUAAUAUAUCUGCUUGCCCAUCACAAUGAUGUUAUGGUUAAUUUCACCAAUUUGGUAACCUGCCUCUUGGGAAGUACGAAAGUAAGCAAGGGCCAGGUGUGGUGACUCACGCCUGUAAUCCCAGUACUUUGGGUGGCUGAGGCGGGUGGAUUGCUUGAGCCCAGGAGUUCAAGACCAACCUGGGCACCAUGACAAAACCCCGUCUCUACAAAAUAUACAAAAAUUAACCAGGAGUGGCAGUGCAUGGCUGUAAUCCCAGCUACUCGGAGGCUGAGGUGGGAGAAUCUCUUGAGCCUGGGAGGCAGAGGUUGCAGUGAGCUGAGAUCACACCACUGCAUUCCAGCCUGGGCAAUGAAGUGAGACCCUGUCUCAAAAAAAAAAAAAAAAAAAAAGAGAGAGAAAGACAGUGAGGGUGUCCUGUGAAUCAAAUCUUUGAAUGGAUGUUUUCUUAACUAACCAAGACCUCUGUAAGAAUUCUGUCUUUGAUUCCACAAUAAAGUGGUGUGAAAUUACUAUAAGCAAAUGUUUACAUGUCUCAUUUAAUCUUCACAACAAUCCUAUGAGGCAAGUAGAAUUGUUAUCCUCAUUUUCUGAGCGAUGAAACUGAGGCUCAGGGGAGGGUGUGACCUUGCCAAGUCCCCACAACUGGAAACCACGGAACAAAAUGACCUGAGUCACACAUGCUAGAAAAAACUCAUUGUGCCUCCCCAUGGAGAUUCACAAUGGCUAUUUCUGUUGCAAUAGAGGAUGAAGCAGGUGGUCUUUCCAAUCAACAGCUGUUAAGAAAGGCUCCAGUUCUCCCC